rfam:Schistosoma haematobium scaffold172_15, whole genome shotgun sequence.
AUCUAGCUGACGAGUCCAAAAUGAGACGAAACACGUUUAUUAGAG